rnacentral:lncRNA from 1 species
UUGCUUCAUACCUGAGCUAUUGGAUCUUGAUUAGCACUCGGGGACCCUCCGUGCCGUUGAUAUUCCGUGACCUCUCGCAUUACCUGGUUAUUUCACAAGAACAACAAAGCAACCUCAGCAUAUGGACACAUUGAUUUACAUGAACAUUUCUGAGCUAUUCCAUAGGACGAUGAUCAUGAUUCUAGGGCGGACCUGUGCCUUAGAGCCUAAAAAUGAAGUUUGAACUAGCUUAAUUAUGUUUUGAUU